rnacentral:rRNA from 1 species
UAGUUGGUGAGGUAACGGCUCACCAAGGCGACGAUGCGUAGCCGACCUGAGAGGGUGAUCGGCCACACUGGGACUGAGACACGGCCCAGACUCCUACGGGAGGCAGCAGUAGGGAAUCUUCCGCAAUGGACGAAAGUCUGACGGAGCAACGCCGCGUGAGUGAUGAAGGUUUUCGGAUCGUAAAGCUCUGUUGUUAGGGAAGAACAAGUACCGUUCGAAUAGGGCGGUACCUUGACGGUACCUAACCAGAAAGCCACGGCUAACUACGUGCCAGCAGCCGCGGUAAUACGUAGGUGGCAAGCGUUGUCCGGAAUUAUUGGGCGUAAAGGGCUCGCAGGCGGUUUCUUAAGUCUGAUGUGAAAGCCCCCGGCUCAACCGGGGAGGGUCAUUGGAAACUGGGGAACUUGAGUGCAGAAGAGGAGAGUGGAAUUCCACGUGUAGCGGUGAAAUGCGUAGAGAUGUGGAGGAACACCAGUGGCGAAGGCGACUCUCUGGUCUGUAACUGACGCUGAGGAGCGAAAGCGUGGGGAGCGAACAGGAUUAGAUACCCUGGUAGUCCACGCCGUAAACGAUGAGUGCUAAGUGUUAGGGGGUUUCCGCCCCUUAGUGCUGCAGCUAACGCAUUAAGCACUCCGCCUGGGGAGUACGGUCGCAAGACUGAAACUCAAAGGAAUUGACGGGGGCCCGCACAAGCGGUGGAGCAUGUGGUUUAAUUCGAAGCAACGCGAAGAACCUUACCAGGUCUUGACAUCCUCUGACAAUCCUAGAGAUAGGACGUCCCCUUCGGGGGCAGAGUGACAGGUGGUGCAUGGUUGUCGUCAGCUCGUGUCGUGAGAUGUUGGGUUAAGUCCCGCAACGAGCGCAACCCUUGAUCUUAGUUGCCAGCAUUCAGUUGGGCACUCUAAGGUGACUGCCGGUGACAAACCGGAGGAAGGUGGGGAUGACGUCAAAUCAUCAUGCCCCUUAUGACCUGGGCUACACACGUGCUACAAUGGACAGAACAAAGGGCAGCGAAACCGCGAGGUUAAGCCAAUCCCACAAAUCUGUUCUCAGUUCGGAUCG